GGGGGCGAGCCAUAAUACAUGCAAGUCGAACGGUGAACACGGAGCUUGCUCUGUGGGAUCAGUGGCUGAACGGGUGAGUAACACGUGAGCACCUGCCCCUGACUCUGGGAUAAGCGCUGGAAACGGCGUCUAAUACUGGAUACGAGUAGCGACCGCAUGGCCUGUUACUGGAAAGAUUUAUUGGUUGGGGAUGGGCUCGCGGCCUAUCAGCUUGUUGGUGAGGUAAUGGCUCACCAAGGCGUCGACGGGUAGCCGGCCUGAGAGGGUGACCGGCCACACUGGGACUGAGACACGGCCCAGACUAUAUACGGGAGGCAGCAGUGGGGAAUAUUGCACAAUGGGCGCAAGUCUGAGGCAGCACCGCCGCGUGAGGGAUGACGGGCUUUCGGGUUGUAAACCUCUUUUAGCAGGAAGAAGGCGAAAGUAACGGUACUGGCGGAAAAGGCGCCGGUUAACUACUGGCCAGCGGCGGCGGAAUUCCGUAGGCGGCAAGGUUAUUCGGGAAUUAUUGGCCGAAAGGGGCUCGUAGGCGGUUUGCCGCGCCUCCGGUGAAACCGGAGGCUUCACCCUCCGGCCUGCAGUGGGUACGGCCGGCCUAGAGUCCGUAGGGGAAAUUGGAAUUCCUGGGGUGCCGGUGGAUUGCCGAUAUUCAGGGAGAAAACCGAUGGCGAAGCAGAUCUCUGGGCCGUACUUGAACCUUAAAGGAGCGAAAGGGUUGGGGAGCAAACAGGCUUAGGAUACCCUGGUAGUCAACCCGUAAACGUUGGGAACUAGGUGGGGUCCAUCCACGGAUCAGGACGCAGCUAGCAUUAGUCCGCUGGAGUACGGCGCAAGUUAAGUCGAGAUGACGAUCGCAUAGCUGUGACUUGAUAUCGAUGCACUGGAACUACAGCUGCAUUCAGGCCGUCGAGUCACUUGACUCG
rnacentral:rRNA from 1 species